UAAGACUCUUAAUCUUAAGGCUGCGGGUUCGACCCCCGCGUUCGGCU
rnacentral:tRNA from 1 species